rnacentral:rRNA from 1 species
UACGGAGGGUGCAAGCGUUAUCCGGAUUCACUGGGUUUAAAGGGUGCGUAGGCGGAUAUGUAAGUCCGUGGUGAAAUCUCUGGGCUUAACCCGGAAACUGCCAUGGAUACUAUGUGUCUUGAAUGUUGUUGAGGUAAGCGGAAUAUGUCAUGUAGCGGUGAAAUGCUUAGAUAUGACAUAGAACACCAAUUGCGAAGGCAGCUCACUAAGCAAAUAUUGACGCUGAGGCACGAAAGCGUGGGGAUCAAACAGG